rfam:Oryzias latipes DNA, chromosome14, strain: Hd-rR.
AAGGUGGCCUACGCCACAGCCAUGGACUGGUUCAUGGCCGUGUGCUACGCUUUU